AGUGGCGGACGGGUGAGUAACACGUAAGAAUUUGCCUUUAGGAGGGGGAUAACAACUGGAAACGGUUGCUAAUACCCCAUACGCUUUCGAGUGAAAUGGAUUUCCGCCUAAAGAGAAGCUUGCGGCUGAUUAGCUUGUUGGUAGGGUAAUGGCCUACCAAGGCGACGAUCAGUAUCUGGUUUGAGAGGACGAUCAGACACACUGGAACUGAGACACGGUCCAGACUCCUGCGGGAGGCAGCAGUAGGGAAUUUUCCGCAAUGGGCGAAAGCCUGACGGAGCAAUACCGCGUGAGGGAUGACUGCCUAUGGGUUGUAAACCUCUUUUUUCAGGGAGGAACAAAAUGACGUGUACCUGAAGAAUAAGCAUCGGCUAACUCCGUGCCAGCAGCCGCGGUAAGACGGAGGAUGCAAGUGUUAUCCGGAAUUACUGGGCGUAAAGCGUCUGUAGGUGGCUCGAUAAGUCAACUGUUAAAUCUUGAAGCUCAACUUCAAAAUCGCAGUCGAAACUAUCGGACUAGAGUAUAGUAGAGGUAAAGGGAAUUUCCAGUGGAGCGGUGAAAUGCGUAGAUAUUGGAAAGAACACCGAUGGCGAAAGCACUUUACUGGGCUAUUACUGACACUCAGAGACGAAAGCUAGGGUAGCAAAUGGGAUUAGAUACCCCAGUAGUCCUAGCCGUAAACAAUGGAUACUAGGUGUU
rnacentral:rRNA from 1 species